UACAGAGGGUGCAAGCGUUAAUCGGAAUUACUGGGCGUAAAGCGCACGUAGGCGGUUUUUUAAGUCAGAUGUGAAAGCCCCGGGCUCAACCUGGGAAUUGCAUUUGAAACUGGGAAACUAGAGUGUGUGAGAGGGGGGUAGAAUUCCAAGUGUAGCGGUGAAAUGCGUAGAGAUUUGGAGGAAUACCAGUGGCGAAGGCGGCCCCCUGGCACAACACUGACGCUCAGGUGCGAAAGCGUGGGGAGCAAACCGG
rnacentral:rRNA from 1 species